AUGCAUGGAAUAAUGGGAUUUUGCUUGCAAGUUCCCAUUGUAAGAAGACUGUGGCUAUCAUCUUGGGCAUGUUCUCUUUUGCUUACUCAGCCAGUCCCUCUGAGAGAUGUGGCCAUCAGCUGGUCCAUGGAGGGACACGGAUGUGAGGGGCCAAGAGCCAGUGAGGUACUGAAUCCAGUGACAACCACUCAAGUGAGCUCAAGAAUAUACCUUCUCCCAGCGGAGCCUUUCUGUGACACUGCAGCCAGGAUGACAGUUUGGCUGCCACCUUGUAAAAGCCAUGAACUAUACUCUGCCCAGACUUCAGAUCUUCAGGAAUUAGGAAAGGAAGCCCAGAGAAACUCAGUUUUCACCAGUCUGUGGUUCUGAAAUUACUCAGACAGACACGAAACAAAAUAGAAAAUUCAGAGAGAUCAGUUGGAAAGAAAAGAUGGUGGAUGAUCAGCGAACCAGGUAAGUAUUCCCCAUGCUUCUGUGAUCUUGGAUUAAGAUGCAUGGAUCAGACAAAGUGUUUAUAAUACAGAUUAAAAAAAGAAAAGGAAAGAAAGCAUAGGGCAGUUAUCCCGAGGGCUAGCAGAGCACUUCGAGUGGCCCCUCUUGCCAUAACAAACUCAUUGACAAGGAUUGUCAUUGACUGCGCUUUAUCUUCCGCAUGCUACUCGGAGGGCGCAUGCCAAGUGCAUACUACGUAAAUGGGAGGUUUACUUCCUGACCCCGGAGAUCAAUUCUCUGUCAAAGAGAGCUGGCUGAUGGAUCACCCUGUGGCUGCCACUGCAUCAAAAAUCACAUCAAAUGCCUGUUCAAGCACACUUCGGAAUUAUGCACUGGAAUCUCUAAGACGGGGCUGGAGAUAAAUUGGGGGAGAGUGUGUAUUCAUCCACCUAGCCCUGCAUUCUGUCUCCCUGGGAAACGCUGCUGGGGCUUUCGGUGGUUGGCCUGGUUCUGAUAGUGGUGGGUUCAUCAUACAGACUUUAGAGCCCGGGUUUGAUGCCAAGGGCUGUGUCUUCCAGACCUGUGAUCUUGGGCAAAUUAUUCAGCCUUUCUCUGGUUCCAUUUCUUUCUGGUCUAAAAUAAGAGUGUUAAUAAAUACUUUCCUCCCUCAUUGGGCA
rnacentral:lncRNA from 1 species